GUCACAUGUGGAAAAUGGGCUUGUGUCAAAUGGGAAUGCUGUGCGGAUUCUUCAGCCGGCUGAUGUAUCUGAGAGGCGGCUGGCUACAUGCGGCUGCACCCACAGUCUGAGCCCACGGCCCUGUGGCGUUGGCAAAUACAUUACCUUCAGUCAUCCUUGCACGUUAUAGGAUAGAGAGAUUUGAUGGCUUCCGGGUUUACGGCUCUGCCACUCAAAGGACUGUACGCUUACGUGUUGCCAUCGCCUUGGAAACGAGUAAUGAUUGUUCACCAUUUCCUUUAGGUCACAGCUUGAGGUGUCUAAGAAACAAAGGAACCGUGGAAAGGGAUGUGCACUCCCAUCAUCUAACCAAACACACUGAGCCUCCAGUGGCUGUGCUGGUGGCUGAUUUCGUCCUGCUCUGCUUUCCGAGGACCUCAAACCUACAAAACACACUUGGCUCAGUUAGGGAAGUCUCAACACAAAGGACCGAAUGUUUCUAGACACCUCCAACCGGAACAGAACGUGGGCCGUAUGUGUGAUUAUUUGCCCUCCAGAGUCCUGACAAGCCCAGCCGAGGGCAUGGCCAUGCUCUCCCUCAAACCUUCUCCUCAUUGCUCACACAGCCACAUUUCCUGAUUCAGCAUUUAUAUUCCUUCCUUGCAUGUUUUUAGUUGACUUGUGGAUGAGUUAGUUCCAAGUCACAUGCUUCAGGCUUCUGAGCAACAGGGGUGGUCUGUCCUACUGGUUCGGGUGGCCUCCGCAUCAGAUGCACCCUCUUGGGACCUCCUUACAGGGUUCACCAAGAUGUCCUCUUGUUUCAAGCCCUCCUCAAGUCUCCUGGAGAUCUCUUCAUAUCACAAUUGACUUUCCGCAGAACCCCAAACCUCCCCCACAGCUGCUUCCCACCCUCUGCUCAGAACUGCGUGUGGAGGUCCCCUUCUCCCGUGUGACACAACUCAGUAUCCACUUAAUGGAGCCCUCCAACUUCUGGAUCCUAAACUCAUCAACCACCUCCUGACUCCUGUGCCCAUCAUCUGAUUUGCUUCAGAGCUCCCCUUUGUACAUGCAAAACUCUAUGUCUGUCUGCCUGUCCAUCUGUUUGUCUGUCUGUGUCUGUGUCUCUCUGACUGUGUGUGUGUGUGUGUGUGUGUGUGUGUGUGUGUGUGUGUGCCUUUGUCUGUCUGUCUUUCUCUGUGUGUGUGUUUCUCACUCCCCACUACAUUCUGGGCUUCUCUGAGUGGUGGGGCUUCUAAUCUGAGUAGCUGCUUCUUUCCUAAUCCAGAAGGGCUGUGGGAUCACACUGCGACUCCAGCAACCUAAGAAGGCCGGAAGAGCUGCUGUCAUUGAGUUGUUUUAGCUUCAGAUAAAAAGUGUCUCUUUCACUACAUUGUCAAUUAAUCGACACUGCAGUUCAGGAUGCAUUACCAUGCCUGGAGGAAGCCUCUAGAACAUUGUGAAGAGCCCCAUUCACCCUAGCACCACUUUAAAGAAAAGUCAGAGGAGCCUUCUAUCAUCACAGCAAUCUUCGAAGCAUUCGCUGCCACUUCUUUCUACCCCAGGGCAGGAACAAUGGCUGAGUAUAAAGAUUUAAACACUCAGAGCCACUGGGGUUCGAAACCAUUCUUUGCAUUCCAUAGCUUUAACCUCGGAUUUCCUGGAGGUCCAAUUAUUGUCAGCAUAGAUUCAUCCUCAUCUUAAUCAUCUUCACCCAUUAACUCAGACAAUAUUUGUAGACCCUGCUGGGUUCCAGAAACUUGGAUGUCUAUGAGAACACAGCAGGGAUGGGACACAGUCCCAUGGCACGGGAACACAGACACCAGAGCAGCUGAGCACAAUGAGACCUGGAUUUGGUACAGGGAACACAGACACAUCUGGGCCAUGGGAACUUUAAUGUCUGUUGUUCUUAAGGAACAAGAUACGUCUUCUCUGACCUCUUAGGCUGUGCAGAGCUCAUCAAGGAGUUCACAUACCUCCUGGGAAAUGGCCCUGGAUAUUAUUGUCUUGGUUGUUGGGUUGGGGCAUGGAAUUCUCCUCCUGUGACAUUUUCCUCCAGGUCAGUGUUGGUACAAAGCAAAGCUAUUGAUUUGUUUUGAGCCAGACACCUUAUUAAACUUGUUUUACUGUG